UACAGAGGGGGCAAGCGUUGUUCGGAAUUACUGGGCGUAAAGGGCGCGUAGGCGGCCUUCUAAGUCGAACGUGAAAUCCCCGGGCUCAACCCGGGAACUGCGUCCGAUACUGGAAGGCUUGAAUCCGGGAGAGGGACGUGGAAUUCCAGGUGUAGCGGUGAAAUGCGUAGAUAUCUGGAGGAACACCGGUGGCGAAGGCGGCAUCCUGGACCAAUACUGACGCUGAGGAGCGAAAGCCAGGGGAGCAAACGGG
rnacentral:rRNA from 1 species